UUCCUGUUUUGUCUACUUUUUUUGUUUUAAACAUCUGAAAUAUUACCAAACUGGUGGUGUGACCUUUCCUGCUUAAUCACAGUUUUCCCUCCACUCCAUGUGUUUCUUUGUUUUUAAGCAGUUAUGAAGUGCAGUGAAGAAACCUUAAACUGCUGCUGCACUAGUUUCUCAGCAGGUUGUUGCUACGUAACCAUAGAAUGAGUGAGUUGCUAGGUAAUCAUAGAAUGAGUGAGUUAGUUGACUCCACCAACCUUGCUUUGGCUAGC